rnacentral:rRNA from 1 species
GAUGAACGCUGGCGGCGUGCCUAAUACGUGCAAGUCGAGCGAACAGACGAGGAGCUUGCUCCUCUGACGUUAGCGGCGGACGGGUGAGUAACACGUGGAUAACCUACCUAUAAGACUGGGAUAACUUCGGGAAACCGGAGCUAAUACCGGAUAAUAUAUUGAACCGCAUGGUUCAAUAGUGAAAGACGGUUUUGCUGUCACUUAUAGAUGGAUCCGCGCCGCAUUAGCUAGUUGGUAAGGUAACGGCUUACCAAGGCGACGAUGCGUAGCCGACCUGGGAGGGUGAUCGGCCACACUGGAACUGAGACACGGUCCAGACUCCUACGGGAGGCAGCAGUAGGGAAUCUUCCGCAAUGGGCGAAAGCCUGACGGAGCAACGCCGCGUGAGUGAUGAAGGUCUUCGGAUCGUAAAACUCUGUUAUUAGGGAAGAACAAAUGUGUAAGUAACUAUGCACGUCUUGACGGUACCUAAUCAGAAGGCCACGGCUAACUACGUG